rnacentral:SRP_RNA from 1 species
GCUGGGCAUGGUGGCGCAUGCCUGUAGUCCCAGCUGCUCAGGAGGCUGAGAUGGGAGGAUCACUUGAGCCCAGGAGUUCUGGGCUGUAGUGCACUAUGCCGAUCGGGUGUCCGCACUAAGUUCAGCAUCAAUAUGGUGACCUCCCAGGAGUGGGGGACCAUCAAGUUGCAUAAGGAGGGGUGAACCAGCCCAGGUCAGAAACAGAGCAGGUCAAAACUCCCAUGCUGAUCAGUAGUGGGAUCGUGCCUGUGAAUAGCCACUGCACUCUAGCCUGAGCAACAGAGUGAGACCCAGUCUCA